CCGCCUGCCGAGGGGUGAGCGGGGUGGGGGUGCUGGGACCUCCGCUCUGGCCGCCAUGAGGGUUUCCAGCUGGCGGAGGCUGAGCUGUGUGACCCGGCUCUGGGUGCCAGGGGCUCUCUGGACCAUGCACCCGCAGGUCCGGCUCCUCACCAGCGUUCCCCAUCGAUGAAAACCCCGCGUUUGGCAGCAGCGCGACCCGUGCCCGUGGGGCUGUGAGCCCACAACUGCACGUGAGGCGCAGGGACAGCUUGGAGCGGCGUGGGCAGUGGUUUGGACGUUUUGCCGCAGGUGGGGGCUCGCUGGGCCAGUAGUUGUCAGAAGAAAAGGAAUCAGCUGUUGGUGCCUCUUUGAAAGAACUUGAGAAGAUGGGAACUUCCACAGUAUAAAUGGCAAUACUUUUCAGGACCUGGAUGUGGCAGCUUGAAACAAAGGUGGUUGGGGGCAAGGUGUAACAGGAAUUACACACAUAAUUUGUUAAUUGGUAAUCCCCUCUCACUGCUUAAAAUAUUUUUCUUC
rnacentral:lncRNA from 1 species